rnacentral:rRNA from 1 species
AAUGGGCGAAAGCCUGACGGAGCGACACCGCGUGCAGGAUGAAGGCCCUCGGGUUGUAAACUGCUGUCACGCCGUAUGAAUUCCCUGUCGUUAACGCCAGGGUUGACUAAGGCGAGAGGAAGCACCGGCUAACUCCGUGCCAGCAGCCGCGGUAAUACGGAGGGUGCGAACGUUGUUCGGAAUCACUGGGCAUAAAGCGCACGUAGGCGGCCCUGUCAGUCUGAUGUGAAAGCCCUCGGCUCAACCGAGGAACUGCAUUGGAUACUACUGGGCUCGAGGACGGUUGGGGUGAGUGGAACUCCUGGUGGAGCGGUGAAAUGCGUAGAUAUCAGGAGGAACACCAGUGGCGAAAGCGGCUCACUGGACCGUCUCUGACGCUGAGGUGCGAAAGCUAGGGGAGCGAACGGGAUU